GCAAACUUGGUCAUUUAGAGGAAGUAAAAGUCGUAACAAGGUUUCCGUAGGUGAACCUGCGGAAGGAUCAUUAACGAGCGAAGAGCUUGCUUCGGCGGCUCGAACCUCCCAACCCUUUGCGAACUUGGCUUGUUGCUUUGGCGGGUCGAGCCAUCUGCUCCGUCGGCCGCUGGCUGACGAGUGCCCGCCGAAGGCCCUUUCCAACGCCGUUUAUUGAAGUCUGAAUCGCGAAGUAAGCAAUUGCUAAAAACUUUCAACAACGGAUCUCUUGGUUCUGGCAUCGAUGAAGAACGCAGC
rnacentral:misc_RNA from 1 species